UUUUGAUGCUAGGGGUGCUUUUAAAGCUGAGAAAUAUACAUUAACCCUUUACCUGAUCUGGAUAAUACCAGCGUAGGGAAGCUAAUUGUGGUUUUU
rfam:Clostridium tyrobutyricum DIVETGP, WGS project CBXI01000000 data, contig: NODE_21